GAUGAACGCUGGCGGCGUGCCUAAUACAUGCAAGUCGAGCGAACAGACGAGGAGCUUGCUCCUCUGACGUUAGCGGCGGACGGGUGAGUAACACGUGGAUAACCUACCUAUAAGACUGGGAUAACUUCGGGAAACCGGAGCUAAUACCGGAUAAUAUAUUGAACCGCAUGGUUCAAUAGUGAAAGACGGUUUUGCUGUCACUUAUAGAUGGAUCCGCGCCGCAUUAGCUAGUUGGUAAGGUAACGGCUUACCAAGGCAACGAUGCGUAGCCGACCUGAGAGGGUGAUCGGCCACACUGGAACUGAGACACGGUCCAGACUCCUACGGGAGGCAGCAGUAGGGAAUCUUCCGCAAUGGGCGAAAGCCUGACGGAGCAACGCCGCGUGAGUGAUGAAGUUCUUCGGAUCGUAAAACUCUGCUAUUAGGGAAGAACAAAUGUGUAAGUAACUAUGCACGUCUUGACGGUACCUAAUCAGAAAGCCACGGCUAACUACGUG
rnacentral:rRNA from 1 species